AUUGAACGCUGGCGGCAGGCCUAACACAUGCAAGUCGAGCGAGCGGCGGACGGGUGAGUAAUGUAUGGGGACUGCCCGAUCGAGGGGGAUAACUACUGGAAACGGUGGCUAAUACCGCAUACUAUCGGAUCACCCAUCUGGGAUUAGCUAGUAGGUGGGGUAACGGCUCACCGAGGCGACGAUCUCUAGCUGGUCUGAGAGGAUGAUGAGCCAAACUGGGACUGGGGCACGGGCCAGACUCCUACGGAGGCAGCAGUGGGGAAGAUUGCACAAUGGGCGCAAGCCUGAUGCAGGCAGGCGGGGUGUAGGAAGAGGGCCUUAGGGUUGUGAAGUACUUUCAGCGGGGAGGCGUUACGCGCAGAAGAAGCACCGGCUAACUCCGUGCCAGCCGCCGCGGUAAUUC
rnacentral:rRNA from 1 species